AAUAUACGACGCUGUUAAUUUUUGGAUCUGAUGUUUGACCAUUCAUCUUAUUUGAAAAAACUAUGUGAGUACCAUUUUUUUUUGUUGUGAGUUGUUUUAUCAUUGAAGAUAGUUUAAGCAUGACCUAUAUUUUUGAAUGUUUGCACUAAAUUUUCUAAUAAGACGAAUGGUCAGACAUCAUGUCCAAAAGUCAAUAGCAUCAUAUACU
rnacentral:pre_miRNA from 1 species